rnacentral:rRNA from 1 species
UUAGGAAUCUUGCGCAAUGGGGGCAACCCUGACGCAGCGACACCGCGUGGAGGACGAAGGUCUACGGAUCGUAAACUCCUUUUGUAUGGGAAGAAUAAAUGACGGUACCAUACGAAUAAGUGACUGCUAACUACGUGCCAGAAGCAUCGGUGAUGCGUAGGUCACGAACGUUAUCCGGAUUGAUUGGGCGUAUAGAGAUGCGUAGGCGUCUAGGUAAGUCUUUUGUUAAAGACCCAGGCUUAACUUGGGGAAGGCAUUGGAAACUACUUGGAUUGAGAUAGGGAGGGGUUGAUGGAAUUCUCGGUGGAGUGGUGAAAUACGUUGAUAUCGAGAGGAACACCAGUGGCGAAGGCGAUCAACUGGCCCUUAUCUGACGCUGAGGCUCGAAAGCGUGGGGAGC